UACGUAGGGGGCUAGCGUUGUCCGGAUUUAUUGGGCGUAAAGAGCGUGUAGGCGGCCAGGUAGGUCUGGUGUGAAAACUCGAGGCUUAACCUCGAGAUGUCAUCGGAAACCAUCUGGCUAGAGUCCGGAAGAGGAGAGUGGAAUUCCUGGUGUAGCGGUGAAAUGCGCAGAUAUCAGGAGGAACACCAAUGGCGAAGGCAGCUCGCUGGGACGGUACUGACGCUGAGACGCGAAAGCGUGGGAGCAAACAGG
rnacentral:rRNA from 1 species